rnacentral:sRNA from 1 species
AAUGAGAUCAUUCCCAUUUAUUUGUUCUUUUCAGGGUGGUUUGCAACCUGUCAACGGUUAGCUUGCCACCAAAUUGAGUGGUCUACCUUUGCGGUGAGUUUUGCCACUUUAAAUAUCUUUUAAUCCUUUUUUUUAUCUUAUAGUAUUAAGCUUGUGUUUCGUUGUAACGAUUUCUAGGUUGCAUGUUUAUUUAGAGAGACGAAAACCUAUACUUUUUUUCUUCAUGAAAGUUUACUGUUUCUGUUUGGCUUUCCGUGGAUUUAAUAAAAUAGAUUUUUUGUUGUAAA